rnacentral:pre_miRNA from 1 species
UUUGUACUCCCUCCGUCCCAAAAUUCUUGUCUUAAAUUUGUCUAAGUACAGAUGUAUCUAGUUACAUUUUAGUGUUAGAUACAUCUGUAUCUAAACAAAUGUAAGACAAGAAUUUUGGGACAGAGGGAGUACUAC